rnacentral:rRNA from 1 species
CCCACUGAUUAAUAUUGAAGGGCUGCAGUAUAUUGACUGUACAAAGGUAGCAUAAUCAUUAGUCAUUUAAUUGAUGACUUGUAUGAAAGAUUGGAUGAGAUAUAAACUGUCUUUUAUUUAUUUAUAAAAUUUAAUUUUUUUAUUAAAAAGUUAAAAUAAUUUAAAAAGACGAGAAGACCCUAUAGAGUUUUAUAAAUAUAUUAAAUUAAGAUUAUAAUGUAAUAUAAAUUUAAAAUUUAAUUAUUUAUUUUAUUGGGGUGAUAAAAAAAUAUAAAAAACUUUUUUUAUGGUUAAAACAUUGAUAAAUGAUUAUAUGAUCCAAUAAUAUUGAUUAUAAGAAAAAAUUACCUUAGGGAUAACAGCGUAAUUUUUUUUUUUAGUUCGAAUAAAAAAAAAAGUUUGCGACCUCGAUGUUGGAUUAAGAUAAAGUUUAAAUGUAGAAG